GCAUUAGAAGAGGAUCCACACUCUCAAUGUAUUGUUGCUGAGAGAACUGAAAUGGCUAAGCCAAGAAGUCCUGACACCUACCAAUCAUGGAAGAACAGUGCCUUCAUCUGCCGAAAGCUUUGCGUGAAGUACUAUUAUGGGGUACAUAGGAUCCAGAGCAAACGUAGUGGGGCUGAAAGAGUGCCUGGUUAUGGGGGAAGCCCUGCUGAGAUCUUCUGGCCCAAGAUACACGUUCCAAGAUAUCCGCUGAUCCUAACCAUGGGUGACAGUAAAUUGUGAACUGAGGUUCCCGAAAGAAGAAUUGCUUUGCCCCAUGCCACAGUUCCUCCAUCCCCCGCUGUGUCAUAGCAGCUGAACAGAAACUGGGUGAUUUGAGCUCAGCUCUUGCUCGCUGACAGGACUGCAGGAACCAGGGUACCGAAAUGUGGGAUAAAACACCGGACAUGAAGCGCUACUGCAGUCUGCCUCUUCCCUUCUCCGACGGCAGGACACAGCCUAUCUGCCUCUUCUCCAAAAUCCUCAUGGUCAACUCAGACUGCACACUGUGCCCGUCACUGUGCCCAUGCUCUGCUCCUGCCACAAAGUAGAGGUCUCCUGGCUUCCUGGAGCUGCUUCCAGCUGACCAGCCCCACUCUCCUGGUAGCACUGAUGCCUAUAAAAACCAGACCAUGUGUAAUACCUUCAUGUGAGUGGGUAUGGCUGUGCCUUUGGUGCACAGCAGAGGGUCGCUCCUACUAUUGCUUCCCAAACUGCUCUUUCACUGCCCUUAGCCUUCCCCUUCGUUCGCCCGUAGCUUCCAGAGGGCUCACGACAGCACUGUUCCUUGUCAAAGGAGUUUCAAGGCUGAAUAUCCAAGCAUGGUAAAUGACAGGUUGUCUGACUUCUUCCGCUGAGGAAACUACUCAUUUGAAACAUUCCAAAUGCACUUAGAGAGGAUAUUUCUUAGGCACGUCUUAAACCGUCUGACCAGUUCUUGUAUUUCACUAGGCUGUGCUUUCUACAUAUACUGGACAUACUCUCAUACUUUUGUCUAUUCCUUAAUACACUUGGCCCUCUUAUAAGACUAAUUGCUAUUUUACAAUUUCAUUUCAAUGGACAGAGAGAUCUAAGGUCUCUUAAGACCUGAGCGCUAAGGUUUAGAGUACCAUGUUUUCUAGCAUGCUGCUACUUGCUGACUGAUUUCCAAAAUACUAACACGUUUCAUUAAACAUGUUUUCACA
rnacentral:lncRNA from 1 species